AUGCAGUCGAGGGGUUGGCAGCAAUGCCAGAGACCGGCGCACGGGUGCGUAACGCGUAUGCAAUCUGCCUUUCACAGAGGGAUAGCCCAGAGAAAUUUGGAUUAAUACCUCAUGGUAUAUAUGAAUGGCAUCAUUUAUAUAUUAAAGUAACAACGGUGAAAGAUGAGCAUGCGUCCCAUUAGCUAGUUGGUAAGGUAACGGCUUACCAAGGCAACGAUGGGUAGGGGUCCUGAGAGGGAGAUCCCCCACACUGGUACUGAGACACGGACCAGACUCCUACGGGAGGCAGCAGUGAGGAAUAUUGGACAAUGGGGGCAACCCUGAUCCAGCCAUGCCGCGUGCAGGAUGACGGUCCUAUGGAUUGUAAACUGCUUUUAUACGGGAAGAAACCACCCCUCGUGAGGGGUAUUGACGGUACCGUAGGAAUAAGGAUCGGCUAACUCCGUGCCAGCAGCCGCGGUAAUACGGAGGAUCCAAGCGUUAUCCGGAAUCAUUGGGUUUAAAGGGUCCGUAGGCGGCCCGAUAAGUCAGCGGUGAAAUCUCCCGGCUCAACCGGGAAAUGGCCAUUGAUACUGUCGGGCUUGAAUUACCAGGAAGUAACUAGAAUAUGUAGUGUAGCGGUGAAAUGCUUAGAGAUUACAUGGAAUACCAAUUGCGAAGGCAGGUUACUACUGGUGGAUUGACGCUGAUGGACGAAAGCGUGGGUAGCGAACAGGAUUAGAUACCCUGGUAGUCCACGCCGUANACGAUGGAUACUAGCUGUCCGGAAGCAAUUCUGGGUGGCUAAGCGAAAGUGAUAAGUAUCCCACCUGGGGAGUACGAACGCAAGUUUGAAACUCAAAGGAAUUGACGGGGGCCCGCACAAGCG
rnacentral:rRNA from 1 species